AGCUCUGCUUGUAGACCAGAAAUAGUCUCCCUAAGAAACUGUUGAAUUUAUCUAGACAAUAAGAUGCUGGACUCUAUGCAUGAUACAUAUUUGCAAUG